GACAGAGGGUGCAAACGUUGUUCGGAUUUACUGGGCGUAAAGCGCGUGUAGGCGGCUUUGCAAGUCGGAUGUGAAAGCCCACGGCUCAACCGUGGAAGUGCAUCCGAAACUGCAUGGCUGGAGUCUCGGAGAGGAAGGUGGAAUGCUUGGUGUAGAGGUGAAAUUCGUAGAUAUCAAGCAGAACACCAAUGGCGAAGGCAGCUCGCUGGGACGGUACUGACGCUGAGACGCGAAAGCGUGGGGAGCGAACAGG
rnacentral:rRNA from 1 species